AUUUGAACAAUAAUCAGCUAAUGGGCCCAAUUCCUGAGUUUAAGGCAGCUAAGGCGUCUUGUACUUCAAAUUCCUUUUGUCAAUCCACUGCAGGGGUUCCUUGUGCCCCAGAAGUUAUGGCACUUUUAGAUUUCCUUGAUGGGUUGAAUUUUCCUCCUAGACUUGUUUCUUCAUGGACUGGUAAUGAUCCAUGUUCAGUAUGGAUGGGGGUGACUUGUGAUUCCAAUAAGGUGCAUUCCAUUGCUUUGCCUAAAUAUAAUCUUAGUGGUACCUUGAGUCCUUCAGUUGCAAAACUAGGUUCUCUUCAGCAAAUUAAACUUGGGGGCAACAAUCUUAGUGGUCCAGUUCCAACAAAUUGGACUUCCUUGACCUCUUUGGAAACCUUGGAUCUUAGUAACAACAACAUUUCCCCUCCAUUUCCAAGAUUCCCUACCACUGUGAAGCUAGUCAUUGAUGGCAAUCCUCUAUUAGCAGGUGGUAAGCCAGCCCCAUCCCCUGAUAACAAUCCUUCUUCUGGAAGUUCAAAUUCACCUAAACCCCCAUCACAAACCAAAGGCAUAAAUUCUAAUCCUGGUGAUUCUGUAGAACCAGCAAAACAGAAAAGCAAGGGCUCCACAUUGGUUGCAAUUGUAGCUCCUGUUGCAAGUGUUGCAUUUGCUGCUAUUCUGAUC
rnacentral:misc_RNA from 1 species